rnacentral:rRNA from 1 species
UACGUAGGGGGCGAGCGUUGUCCGGAUUCAUUGGGCGUAAAGCGCGCGUAGGCGGCCCCGCAAGUCGGCCGUGAAAUCUCCGGGCUCAACUCGGAGGGGUCGGGCGAGACUGCGGGGCUCGAGGUGGGCAGAGGGCAGUGGAAUUCCGGGUGUAGUGGUGGAAUGCGUAGAGAUCCGGAGGAAUACCAGUGGCGCAAGCGGCGCUCUGGGUCGCAUCUGACACUGAGACGCGAAGGCAUGGGGAGCGAACGGG